rnacentral:rRNA from 1 species
AUUGAACGCUGGCGGCAUGCUUUACACAUGCAAGUCGAACGGCAGCGCGGGCUUCGGCCUGGCUGCGAGUGGCGAACGGGUGAGUAAUACAUCGGAACGUGCCCAGUAGUGGGGGAUAGCUCGGCGAAAGCCGGAUUAAUACCGCAUACGACCUGAGGGUGAAAGCGGGGGGUCUUCGGACCUCGCGCUAUUGGGGGGGCCGAUGGCAGAUUAGCUAGUUGGUGGGGUAAAGGCCUACCAAGGCGACGAUCUGUAGCUGGUCUGAGAGGACGACCAGCCACACUGGGACUGAGACACGGCCCAGACUCCUACGGGAGGCAGCAGUGGGGAAUGUUGGACAAUGGGCGAAAGCCUGAUCCAGCAAUGCCGCGUGUGUGAUGAAGGCCUUCGGGUUGUAAAGCACUUUUGACGGGAACGAAAAGGACUGUGCCAAUACCACGGUUCGAUGACGGUACCCGCAGAAUAAGCACCGGCUAACUACGUG